UUUCCACUAUGUUGCGCUUAGCUCAAAGCGAUCUGCCCAGCCUCUGCUCCCGAAGUGCUAGGAUUAUAGGCCUGUACCACCGCCACUGUAAAAUCUUAUUUCCAUACAGCUGAGACAUGUUUUAGGAAGUUUGCUAAAAGACCCCUGGAGACCUCCUCAUUGUGGCCUCCCUGUUGUCAUGUUUAAUUUGAUUGAUCUUUUCUGCCCUCCUGCUUUUCAUAAAUUAAAAGGCUAAAAAGAGGUACUAAACUUUAAAACUUCUCUUAUAGUCUCCCAUUAAACUAAUUCUAAGAACCACCAAAAAGGGGGAAAAUUUUUUUUGAAAGCAGUAAAAUGAUAUGGUCUGUUAGAAUGUAAAAUACAGGAAAUAAGUCAUUAUAUGUUAUUGCUGCUGUGAUAUAGGGAUGUAUUAUUGAGAAUCAACUUCUGGUCAGUUUUCAGAGAAAUGGAAUAGUCGUAUCACUGAUCUACGUAAACAGGUUGAAGAAUUGUCUGAAAGAAAAUAUGGUGUGUCUAAACUGGAAAAGUCCUGUAAUAGUUUGUUCAUGAGCAUUUACACAAUGGAGUUGCUGUUUCAUCAUGGGGGUACUGUGGACAAGCCCAGGGUUGCUGCUCAAGCUGUAAAAGCCAAAGGUCCACCCGUUUUUUCCAGUCUCAAGCUGAAGAUCUUUAUGUAGAAGGCCUUCCCCACAGGAAUUUUUUAUUUAUUUAUUUAUUUAUUUUUUUUUUUUGUGAUGGAGUUUUUACUCUUGUUGCCCAGGCUGGAGUGCAGUGGCAUGAUCUAGGCUGGAGUACAAUGCUGUGAUCUCAGCUCACUGCAGCCUCUGCCUCCUGGGUUCAAGCGAUUCUCCUGCCUCAGUCUCCUGAGUACCUGGGAUUACAGGCGCCCGCCACUACACCAGGCUAAUUUUGUAUUUUUAAUAGAGAUGGGGUUUCACCAUGUUGGCCAGGCUGGUCUGGAACUGCUGAACUCAGGUGAUCCUCCUGCCUCAGCCUCCCAGAGUGCUGGGAUUACAGGCAUGGACCACUACGCCAGGCCAGGAAUUGUUGUUGUUGUUGUUGUUUUUGUUUUUGUUUUUGAGACACAGUCUUGCUCUGUGCCCAGACUGGAGUGCAGUGGAGCAAUCUCGGCUCACCGCAACCUCCGCCUCUUGGGUUCAAGUGAUUCACUUGCCUCAGUCUCCUGAGUAGCUGGGACUACAGGUGCAAGUCACCAUGCCCGGUUAAUUUUUUUGUAGUUUUAGUAAAGAUGGGGUUUCUUUUUUUUUUUUUUUUUUGAGACGGAGUCUCGCUCUGUCGCCCAGGCUGGAGUGCAGUGGCACGAUCUCGGCUCACUGCAAGCUCCGCUUCCCGGGUUCAUGCCAUUCUCCUGCCUCAGCCUCCCAAGUAGCUGGGACAAUAGGCGCCCGCCACCACGCCCGGCUAAUUUUUUGUACGUUUAGUAGACAUGGGGUUUCACCGUGUUAGCCAGCAUGGUCUCGAUCUCUUGACCUCGUGAUCCACCCGCCUCGGCCUCCCAAAGUGCUGGGAUUACAGGUGUGAGCCACCGUGCCUGGCCAAGACAGGGUUUCACUAUGUUGGCCAGGCUUGUCUGGUAAUCCUGACUUCAUCAUCCACCCGCCUUGGCCUCCCAAAUUGCUGGGAUUACAGAUGUGAGCCACUUUGCCCCACCAGAAAUUUUUUUUAGGAAGGCUAUCUACUUACAGAAUUCCUGGCCUUGAGAGGAUAUUACUUGCAAUGGAAAGGAUUUGUUUUGUGAUUAAAAAGUAAGACUCCUGGAUUCUUAUUUGACUCUUAUCUCUCUUGUGAGUAAUACAUCUUUUUUAUUGUUGACAAAUAUUUACCACUACGGUUAUAUUUACUGAAGUUUGACUUAUAUUAUGGGUUUUUUUUUUUUUUUUUUUUGGAUGGAGUUUCUCUCUGGUUGCCCAGGCUAAAGUGCAAUGGUGUGAUCUCGGCUCACUGCAACCUCUGCCUCCCAGGUUCAAGUGAUUCUCCUGCCUCAGCCUCCUGAGUAGCUGGGAUUACAGGCAUGUCCCACCAAGCCCAGACAUGAACUUAUGAACUCAACACAUGAAGAUUUACAGCUUGACAAACCAGCUUCAGGAGCUCAAGCUGUUGGACUCGCCGAGGCAGUAAAAGUACCAUAUCCUGUGUUUGAAUCAAACUCCAAUUUCCUGUAUAUAGAAGGCUUGCCAGACAGGAUUCCCUUCCGAAGCCCUACCUGGUUUGGAAUUCCAUGACUUGAAAGGAUCCUUUGUGGGAGUAAUAAAAUGAAGUUUGUUGUUAAAAAGUAAAUUCUGGGCGGGACAUGGUGGCUCACAUCUGUAAUCCCAGCACUUUGGGAGGCUGAGGCGGGCAGAUCACCUGAAGUCAGGAGUUUGAGACCAGCCUGGCAAACAUGGCGAAACCCCAUAUCUAUUAAAAAUACAAAGAAUUAGCUGGGCGUGGUGGCAGGUGCCUGGAAACCCAGCUACUUGGGAGGCUGAAGCAGGAGAAUCACUUGAACCUGGGAGGCAGAGGCUGCAGUGAGCCGAGAUCACACCACAGCACUCCAGCCUGGGUGACAGAGUGAGACUCUGCCUCAACAACAACAACAACAACAAUAAAAAACUUUGCAGUGCCCAAAAAGACCAUGAAGCCCUGAGAGUAAUGAAAAGCUUCCUGACAUUGAGGUCACUGUGGAAGGAGAAUCUAAUGCCUGAUGGUCUGCCACUGUCUCCCAUCACCCCCAGAUGGGACCAUCUAGUUGCCGAAAAACAAGCUGAGGCCUCUCACUCAUUCUACAUUAUGCCUCAGCCGAGAUGUCUCACCCCACUCUCUGUGAUGCAACAAGAAGCCCCUGGGGAGCAUUUCAGUCCCACUCUAUACUUCUGUCAUGUGCUCAUCACAGUCUGAAUCACCUAAGCUAAAGAUUCUUUUGAGAACAAGAGCUAGCCUGUGGUUUCAUGGCUUUUCUUCCAUUUGUGGUUCUUGCCAAGUGGAAUUUAAAUGACCUCUUAUCAAGAUGGAUAAACCCAAGUUUCCCAGUGCUGGAAUAUAGAAAAUGGAUGGACAACUGGAUCUACCAUGAAAGACUUCAGAGUCCAGGAAGAGAGACUGACUGGGCAACAUGUUAUUCAGAAUUAGAGAAGAUGAUGUGAUGAUGGAAGAAGAGGUCAGAGAGGGAGAUUUGAAGAUGUUGCAGUUCUGGCCUUCAAGAUGAAGUCAGGGGCUACCUUCAGGGGUGGAGUGCAGUGGUGCGAUCUCAGCUGCCUGCAGCCUUCACCUCCCAGGUUCAAGCGAUUCUCCUGCCUCAGCCUCUUGAAUAGCUGGGAUUACAGAAGCAGGACCUUGCUCUGUCACCCAGGAUGGAGUUCAGUAGUCCAAUCACAGCUCAUGGUAACCUCAGACUCCCAGGCUCAAGCGAUCCUCCCACCUCAUCCUUCCCAGUAGCUGGGACUACAGGAGCACCUCGCUUCCCAUGCUUCUGAGAAUCUGGGGAGUCAAGGAAGACUUCCAGGAGGAGGUGGUGCUAACGCGGACAAGUGACAGAGGAGCUGAAGCUAGCCAGGAAGAGAGUAGAUAAGGGGAAGCGUAUUCUAAGCAGAGGGCAUCACCCACUUCGCAGGCUCCCAGAGGAGAGAGAGAGUGGGCAUUCAAGGGGCAGAUGAGGCUCAGUUGGACUCCACAGCAG